rnacentral:lncRNA from 1 species
AGCAAUGUCUAAUUACCAGAGAAUGUGGUAAAUAUUUGAAAAACCCAGGGCUUGGAUGGAAGACUUCAGGGCUGAUAACUCAGUACUUAAAGGGAGCCUAUAAACAGGAGGGGAANGGUUGGAGAUUCAUGAUCCUUGAGGUCCCUUCUAAGCCAGGCCAUUCUGUGUGAUUCUGUGUGCUUUAACAGGUCAGCCCACAGUGGCUACUUUUGCAUUUCUCAGUAGUUUAAUUAAUUAAUGAGCUACAAAUACUGGAAAGGUGAAGUAGAUACUAAAUAACAUUCAUCUUCUCUGCAUUUACAAGGGGAAAGAGCCUCUCCUAAAACAGGAGAAGCUGUGCAAGUUACUAGAAAAAAAAAAAAAAAUCAUAUAUACAGAAGAAAAUUGUAACUGUCAGAAAGGAUUUCUAUUUCAUUAACUUCCACGCGUGGUGUUUAAAUAUGGAGGCUUGGGCUACAGUGACAGUUUAUUGUAAAGUGUAAACCGUAACUAACCAAAUUCUUUUACACUAUAGUGCACCGUGGACACACACCUCGCUUCGACUAUAGGUUGGGACUGAGGCACCCUCAAGCGGCUGAUGUCGAUACAGCAGCUAGGACGCUGCUCAUGGAGUUAAAAUUACCAAUAAAACAAACACUGUCAAGGAAAACAGUCAUAUCAGUCAGCUACCAAAGAACAGAAUUAUCAUGGUCUUAAAGUACUUCGGUCUUCUAAAACUAAACUAAGGCAUUUGACAAAAUGUCUUCUGGACCACCCCGGCAUGCUUUGAAUGUAGCCAACAGCCAGAGACUGAGAACAUCAGGCCUUGAGGCGAGCUGUCUGUGACAGGUAAGCAGGAUUAACAGAAGCUUGAACAGUUGUGUCUUCUCCCACAAAUCCUUUCCACACGGAUUGACAGUGCCUCUCUUCCACCCACAUUUAAUAUCAGCGAAUGCCACCAAGAAAAUGUGCCACUCACUGUCCCUUCAGAGCAGUCUCUCCAGCAUCACUGAAGCCAGACUGCUCUGAGCAGCAAGCAG